rnacentral:tRNA from 1 species
GGUUCGUAGCUCAGUGGUCAGAGCGAUGGUCUUGCGAGCCAUAGGUCGUGGGUUCGACCCCCGCCGGGACUA